rnacentral:rRNA from 1 species
GACGAACGCUGGCGGCGUGCUUAACACAUGCAAGUCGAACGGAAAGGCCCUGCUUUUGUGGGGUGCUCGAGUGGCGAACGGGUGAGUAACACGUGAGUAUCCUGCCCUUGACUUUGGGAUAACUUCAGGAAACUGGGGCUAAUACCGGAUAGGAGCUCCUGCUGCAUGGUGGGGGUUGGACAGUUUCGGCGGUAGGGGAUGGACUCGCGGCUUAUCAGCUUGUUGGUGGGGUAGUGGCUUACCAAGGCUUCGACGGGUAGCCGGCCUGAGAGGGUGGCCGGCCACAUUGGGACUGAGAUACGGCCCAGACGCGUACGGGAGGCAGCAGUGGGGAAUAUUGCACAGUGAGCGCAAGCCUGAGACAGCAACGCCGCGUGCGGAAAGACGGCCUUCGGGUUGGAAACCGCUGUCGCCUGUGACGAAGCGUGAGUGACGGUAAUGGGUAAAGAAGCACCGGCUAACUACGUG